CAAUAGCGUAUAUUAAAGUUGUUGCGGUUAAAAAGCUCGUAGUUGGAUUUCUGCCGAGGACGACCGGUCCGCCCUCUGGGUGUGUAUCUGGUUUGGCCUGGGCAUCUUCUUGGAGAACGUAGCUGCACUUGACUGUGUGGUGCGGUGUCCAGGACUUUUACUUUGAGGAAAUUAGAGUGUUUCAAGCAGGCACACGCCUUGAAUACAUUAGCAUGGAAUAAUAAGAUAGGACCUCGGUUCUAUUUUGUUGGUUUCUAGAGCUGAGGUAAUGAUUAAUAGGGAUAGUUGGGGGCAUUCGUAUUUAACUGCCAGAGGUGAAAUUCUUGGAUUUGUUAAAGACGGACUACUGCGAAAGCAUUUGCCAAGGAUGUUUUCAUUAA
rnacentral:rRNA from 1 species